ACAAAGUAUGAAGAGAAUGUCGGGAGAGGAAGUGGUGGCUCUGAGUCAGCACGAGUCAUCUGGUUCCAGUGACAAUGAAGACUGAGAAGACUACCAAAGCAAACCAGAGGACCAGAGAACAGCAGCUGCUCUGGACAAAGAGGGGAGGACACCCACACCCACAUACCAAGUUCUGGUUGACUUCUACAGCAGAAGAAGCAGGAGACACAAGAAGAAGUCUCCGAUUUGACGGUCAGGAUCCCGGAGAAGACUCUCCAGCCACAGGGCUGAUCAUGGUGGCUUCUCUCCAGAUGGGUGAAGUAGAGCAUUGCUUUUGGACUCUGCUUAUAUACUGGCCAGUGGGAGCCAUGGGAUUCUAGGCUUAUGCCUGGUUAGCUUGAGUAAAUGAUGGGACUGAGUUCUGGUGAACAGGUAUAGCCUUGGGUGUAGUGGGAUGCUGACUAAGCUAUUUUCACAUGUCUAAACAGUAUUUUUUUUUAAACUAUGCUUCUUAUACUUCA
rnacentral:lncRNA from 1 species